rnacentral:rRNA from 1 species
GACGAACGCUGGCGGCGUGCUUAACACAUGCAAGUCGAACGAAGUGGCGAACGGGUGAGUAACGCGUAAUCAACCUGCCCUUCAGAGGGGGACAACAGUUGGAAACGACUGCUAAUACCGCAUACUGAAGGUGGGGAUUGCGUCUGAUUAGCUGGUUGGAGGGGUAACGGCCCACCAGGGCGAUGAUCAGUAGGCGGUCCGAGAGGAUGAACGGCCAAAAUGGGACUGAGACACGGCCCAGACUCCUACGGGGUGCAGCAGUGGGGAAGCUUCCGCAAUGGACGAAAGUCUGACGGAGCAACGCCGGGUGAGUGAUGACGGCCUUCGGGUUGUAAAGCUCUGUUAAGCGGGACGCGGUACCGGAAGAGAAAGCCACGGCUAACUACGUGCCAGCAGCCGCGGUAAUUC